rnacentral:misc_RNA from 1 species
GAUGAAGAACGCAGCGAAAUGCGAUAAGUAAUGUGAAUUGCAGAAUUCAGUGAAUCAUCGAAUCUUUGAACGCACAUUGCGCCCGCCAGUAUUCUGGUGGGCAUGCCUGUUCGAGCGUCAUUUCAACCCUCAGGCCCCCAGUGCCUGGCGUUGGGGAUCGGCGCGGCGCCCUCCGGGGCGCUGCCGGCCCCGAAAUUCAGUGGCGGUCUCGCUGUAGCCCUCCUCCGCGUAGUAGCACAACCUCGCGGCCUGGAGCUCGGCGGUGGCCAUGCCGUAAAACACCCCACUUCUGAAAGUUGACCUCGGAUCAGGUAGGAAUACCCGCUGAACUUAAGCAUAUCAAUAAGCGGAGGA